GACGAACGCUGGCGGCGUGCUUAACACAUGCAAGUCGAACGGAAAGGCCUGCUUUCCCUUGUGGAUUGCGGGUACUCGAGUGGCGAACGGGUGAGUAACACGUGAGUGAUCUGCCCCCAACUUGGGUAUAAGCCUGGGAAACUGGGUCUAAUUCCCGAUAGGGCUGCAGGGUGGUGCCUGUGGUGGAAAACGAUUUUCUAGUGGUUGGGGAUGAGCUCGCGGCCUAUCAGCUUGUUGGUGGGGUAAUGGCCUACCAAGGCGGCGACGGGUAGCCGGCCUGGGAGGGUGGACGGCCACAUUGGGACUGAGAUACGGCCCAGACUCCUACGGGAGGCAGCAGUGGGGAAUAUUGCACAAUGGGCGGAAGCCUGAUGCAGCGACGCCGCGUGGGGGAUGACGGCCUUCGGGUUGUAAACUCCUUUCGACCGCGAGGAAGCCACCUGGUUGGAAGGGUGGUGACGGUAGUGGUAGAAGAAGCACCGGCUAACUACGUG
rnacentral:rRNA from 1 species